CAGCAGCCGCGGUAAUACGAAGGGGGCUAGCGUUGCUCGGAAUGACUGGGCGUAAAGGGCGCGUAGGCGGCGGCCAAAGUCAGGCGUGAAAUUCCCGGGCUCAACCUGGGGGCUGCGUUUGAUACUUGGUUGCUUGAGUGGGGAAGAGGGUCGUGGAAUUCCCAGUGUAGAGGUGAAAUUCGUAGAUAUUGGGAAGAACACCGGUGGCGAAGGCGGCGACCUGGUCCAUAACUGACGCUGAGGCGCGAAAGCGUGGGGAGCAAACAGGAUUAGAUACCCCCGUAGUCCCUGUCUCUUAUAC
rnacentral:rRNA from 1 species